GCGGCAGCGGUGUAAUUGUCGAUCACGAAUGGAAAAUCCGAGUGCAUAUCAGGAUCUACCAAGGUAAACCAGAAUUGGUUAAAGGCAUGAAAGGUCUCUGUCGACUGCGAAUACAAUUCAACUGAAGGAUGUGUCCUUAGCUGUCAGUCGAUGAGUCAAAUUAAUUCUAUCACUGGCGAACCAAUAUUGAGCGAGGACGAUCUGAACAAUAUGGGAUUUUAUACCCCAAAGCGCAAAUCAGAUGACGAUUUGCCUAAUCCC